GGUGGCUCAGUGGUAGAGUGAUUGCCUUGCAUGCAUGAGGCCCGGGGUUCGAUUCCUCAGCACCA
rnacentral:tRNA from 1 species